AUUGAACGCUGGCGGCAGGCCUAACACAUGCAAGUCGAACGGUAACAGGAAGAAGCUUGCUUCUUUGCUGACGAGUGGCGGACGGGUGAGUAAUGUCUGGGAAACUGCCUGAUGGAGGGGGAUAACUACUGGAAACGGUAGCUAAUACCGCAUAACGUCGCAAGACCAAAGAGGGGGGCCUUCGGGCCUCUUGCCAUCGGAUGUGCCCAGAUGGGAGUUGAUGGGAGGUGGGGUAAACGCACACCUAGGCGACGAUCCCUACGUGGUCUGAGAGGAUGACCAGACACACUGGAACUGAGACACGGUCCAGACUCCUACGGGAGGCAGCAGUGGGGAAUAUUGCACAAUGGGCGCAAGCCUGAUGCAGCCAUGCCGCGUGUAUGAAGAAGGCCUUCGGGUUGUAAAGUACUUUCAGCGGGGAGGAAGGGAGUAAAGUUAAUACCUUUGCUCAUUGACGUUACCCGCAGAAGAAGCACCGGCUAACUCCGUG
rnacentral:rRNA from 1 species